CCUGCCGGACCUGACUGCUAUCGGAUUGAUACUAAGCCAUGCGAGUCUUUGUAGUAAUACAAGGCAGACGGCUCAGUAACACGUAGUCAACCUACCCUAUGGACAAGAAUAAUCUCGGGAAACUGGGCAUAAUUCUUGAUAGAUCAUAAUGCCUGGAAUGGUUUAUGGUUAAAAUGAUUCGUCGCCAUAGGAUGGGACUGCGGCCUAUCAGCUUGUUGGUGAGGUAAUGGCCCACCAAGGCGAUUACAGGUACGGGCUCUGAGAGGAGAAGCCCGGAGAUGGGUACUGAGACACGGACCCAGGCCCUAUGGGGCGCAGCAGGCGAGAAAACUUUGCAAUGUGCGAAAGCACGACAAGGUUAAUCCGAGUGGUUUCUGCUAAAGGAACCUUUUGUCAGUCCUAAAAACACUAACGAAUAAGGGGUGGGCAAGUUCUGGUGUCAGCCGCCGCGGUAAAACCAGCACCUCAAGUGGUCAGGAUGAUUAUUGGGCCUAAAGCAUCCGUAGCCGGCUUUGUUAGUUUUCGGUUAAAUCCAUGUGCUCAACGCACGGGCUGCCGAAAAUACUGCAUAGCUAGGGAGUGGGAGAGGUAGACGGUACUCAGUAGGAAGGGGUAAAAUCCUUUGAUUUAUUGAUGACCACCUGUGGCGAAGGCGGUUUACCAGAACACGUUCGACGGUGAGGGAUGAAAGCUGGGGGAGCAAACCGGAUUAGAUACCCGGGUAGUCCCAGCUGUAAACGAUGCAGACUCGAUGAUGCAUUGGCAUAAUAGCCAAUGCAGUGUCGCAGGGAAGCCGUUAAGUCUGCCGCCUGGGAAGUACGUACGCAAGUAUGAAACUUAAAGGAAUUGGCGGGGGAGCACCACAAGGGGUGAAGCCUGCGGUUCAAU
rnacentral:rRNA from 1 species